GAGCUCAAAUUUAAAAUCUGGCGGUUCUGCCGUCCGAGUUGUAGUUUAGAGAAGUGCUAUCCGCGCUGGCCUGUGCAUAAGUUUCUUGGAAAAGAACAUCAUAGAGGGUGACAAUCCCGUCUUUGGCACAGAUCCCAGGGCUUUUGUGAUGCGCUCUCGAAGAGUCGAGUUGUUUGGGAAUGCAGCUCUAAAUGGGUGGUAAAUUCCAUCUAAAGCUAAAUAUUGGCGAGAGACCGAUAGCGAACAAGUACCGUGAGGGAAAGAUGAAAAGAACUUUGAAAAGAGAGUUAAACAGUACGUGAAAUUGUUGAAAGGGAAACGCUUGAAGUCAGUCGCGUCCUCUAGUAGUCAAGUUGACUUUGGUUGACUGUACUUUCUAGUUGGAUGGGUCAGCAUCAAUUUUGAUCGCUGGACAAAGGCCUUGGGAAUGUGUCAUCUUCGGAUGUGUUAUAGACCAUGGUUCUCAUACAGUGGUUGGGAUUGAGGAACUCAGUGUGCCUUCAUGGUUGGGGCUUCGGCUCACAUUAGCACGCUUAGGAUGCUGGCAUAAUGGCUUUAAUCGACCCGUCUUGAAACACGGACCAAGGAGUCUAACAUGCCUGCGAGUAUUUGGGUGGAAAACCCAUAUGCGAAAUGAAAGUGAAAGUUGAGAUCUCUGUCAUGGAGAGCAUCGACGCCCGGACCUGAGCUUUUGUGACGGAUCUGCGGUAGAGCAUGUAUGUUGGGACCCGAAAGAUGGUGAACUAUGCCUGAAUAGGGUGAAGCCAGAGGAAACUCUGGUGGAAGCUCGUAGCGAUUCUGACGUGCAAAUCGAUCGUCGAAUUUGGGUAUAGGG
rnacentral:rRNA from 1 species